rnacentral:rRNA from 1 species
AUUGAACGCUGGCGGCAGGCCUAACACAUGCAAGUCGAGCGGAGCGGCGGAGGGGUGGGUAAGGCCGAGGUAUCUGCCUGGUAGUGGGGGAUAACGGCAGGAAACGGGCGCUAAUACCGCAUACUAUCAGAUGAGCCUAGGUGGGAUUAGCUAGUUGGUGGGGUAAAGGCCUACCAAGGCGACGAUCCGUAACUGGUCUGAGAGGAUGAUCAGUCACACUGGAACUGAGACACGGUCCAGACUCCUACGGGAGGCAGCAGUGGGGAAUAUUGGACAAUGGGCGAAAGCCUGAUCCAGCCAUGCCGCGUGUGUGAAGAAGGUCUUCGGAUUGUAAAGCACUUUCAGUUGGGAGGCGUUACCCACAGAAUAAGCACCGGCUAACUUCGUGCCAGCCGCCGCGGUAAUUC